UAAAGGCUAACUGGGUAAUCUCUGCAGGCAACUGUGAUGAUGCAUUUUGUUCUCACAAUCACCUGGAGAGAUUCUGCAGUUUGCCUUG
rnacentral:pre_miRNA from 1 species